UGAGAGUUAAAGAGAAAUAGAAAUAGGAAGUUGGAGUUUCUAGACUGCUGAGUUACUUCACGGUUUUGAGGUUUGUAUCCAUUAUUUCUUGAGGGAUUUAUAAUUUCUUGAACAUUUUAACUUACUUGUGAUUAGAUUGGAGUUUUCUUAAUGAUUUUAUGGUGCCAAAAUAGGGGUAAUUAAUUACAAGAAUUUGAAAGAAAGUAAUCUGGACAGAGAUGAGGAUUUGCUAGAAUUGAAUGGUUUCAACCUUGAUUUUGUAUGAUAGUUAGAGUCUAACUCAUACAUAUCAAUAUGAAUGUUUUUAUAUGCAGUCAUGGAGUAUAGAAAUGAUGUUAAUGGCCUAGAUUUUUGUUGGUAGCAUACUAAUAAAAUGGAAAAUCGAAAACUGUCACAAGGAAAAUAAAACUACCUGAUUUUGUGUGGUGAAAAAGGGAUGGUUUUUGAGGUUGAAAACACUUCACUUGUCACGACUUUAGGGCAUGAUUACCAUCACAUACAUGUUAUAGAAAUGUGGUAAGAAUUUGGGAGUCGUUUGAUAUAGUUAAGGGGGUGAAAGAGGAUUGGAAAAAUAGUUUGACGAUGAUGGAAAUCUGAAUAACAGAUUCUGUCCAUUUCCUUGUUUAAUAUCGUUUCAACCUUUACAUAUCCAUUAAUCAUAUCUUGGGCCUAGGAAAUAGAUUUUAGUGAGUACUAGGUUUUUGACAACAACUGGAUGACGUUGACGUUCAUAGUUGGACUCGAGAAAUAGUGAGAUUUAUAGGACUAGUUUGUAAUGCCAUCGGUAACUUAAAAAGAUGAAUUUGUCCAAAUUAUUUUGGCAUGAAUGGAUGUAUUUUGGGAUUGUGUGUGUUAACGUUAUUAAAUUGAGGAUUGUCUUUAAUAUUAGAUGGUAAUACACAUGAUUUUUCGGCUAUGAACAAAAAAAGAAAAUUGAUACACACUUCAUAGGAGCUUGCACACACAAGGGCGAAAUGUAAGUAAAAAUCCAUUUCCAAAUACGAUGCAAGAACCCAGUAUUUGUGAUAUGGUAAUGUUGGAAUAUUUACAUAACUUUGAUAAGAGACUUAUAACACAUCAUGAUGAUUAUGAUCGUUGAGUAUGAGGUUGAGGUUGAGGUUGAGGUUGACAAACCUAUUGACAUCGAUUUUCAUCAGCUAUGUCAAUCAUGAGAAUUUUCAUGAGCAUGAACGACAUGUGAUCAUGAUUGAAAAUCCUACAUAUGAAACAUGAUUUCAAAUUGAGUUCUCCUUAUAAAUGUUUUAUUGACCACUACUAGGGUACUGAGGCAUGUGAGGCAUGCUUAUGUGAUAUGUUUUGACAUCGUGAGUGAUACUUCCUGGGUGAUUGCAAAAGUAGAUAGGGGAUGGGCCUUUGGUGAUCACGGAAGGGUGGACCACUCGACUAUGCCCUUGCGAUAUUAUGAUUAUUGGAGUUGCCGGUGGGAUACUUCUUGGAAGAUCGUAGAGAUAGUUAGGGGAUGUGCCUCUAGUUGUCACGAGAGGAUGGUCCACUCCCCGGUGUUGAUUUCAUAUUGGUCAUUUGAUUAUUAAUUAUUGAUAUUGAUAUUAUGCAGAGCUCUAUCCGGUGCAUAGUAGGUAGGUCAAGGGCCCAAUGAAAAGAAAACUUUCAAAUGAAAUGAUUUUGAAUUGACUUUGAUGAUUAUUGGAAUAUGAUGCAUCUUUAGCAUAAUAUUUAAAAUGAAUGACAUGGUGUCAUAUUAUUGUUACUCAUACUCAUGAUAUGCAUGAUUUUUGCUUGCUAAGCAUUAACUUAUGUAGUUCUUGCAUUGUAGGUGAGUAUGGAACUAUGUAGAGAUCAUGGCUAUCUGUGGAGCUCUUAUGGGAUUCCAGAGUUUGAUGUACAUGGAUGACGGCCAGUAGGGUUAUUUUGUGGGCUGUUGUCUAUUGUGUUAUAUUUUGGGGAUUUUGUAUUGUAUCACUUUUGUAAUGGCCUGUAGAUAUGUUUAUAACAUUAGAACAUAUGUGUUAGAUUAUGGUUAUAUGAUCUUUGAUUUCGAUAUA
rnacentral:lncRNA from 1 species